CUGUUCCAGGAACCGCUAAAUCCACCGCGUUUGGAGGAACCAUCCCCUCCCUUGGUAGGGGCUUGAAUGGCCCCUCCACCAGGGGCAGUGACGUUAAUCGCUUGGUAUUUAUCAGCAGAGAGAGAGACAGUGAAUUCAACCACAUCGUCCUCAACAAGAGAGCGGUAACCGUCAGAUUUGAUAGCACUGUGAUGGACAAAGAGAUCCUCGCCACCAUCAUCGGGCUUGAUGAAGCCAAAACCCUUCCUAUCACUGAACUUGACGACCCUACCGGUGGAUCUCACUGCCGUCUGCUCCUCGGCCAUUGAUUGAGC
rnacentral:misc_RNA from 1 species